CCGAAUACAAUCCGACGGACUGGGUAUGCCAUAAUCCAUUAUUUUGAGCCCACAGUUCAUGCCGUAUUCUUACUGGUCGCCACUUGAAUAGGGAUGGAGGCAUCAGAUUGCGUCCAUCAGUUGUCUUCCUCCUCAACCAAAGAAUCACUCUCGUGAUGGCGAUCUAGGGUAUCAUGACGACCCAGAGACGUCAAUCAAAUUUGAAGAUGGGGUAUUCUAUCAGGAGGGCCUUGACGGCGUCAAGGUGGCCAUAACAACCGGGGCUCUUCCCUCUUCCUCAGUAAGUGAAAAGAAGGCCCUCUCCCAAACAGGGCGCUCGUCUCGCACUACCCCCACGUGCUAACUUCUGCUCCCAAGGGUCGCCGGACUACGCGUAAGAAUUCCUCGGCAGGAGCACAGACCGUGCCAGCUCCAGCCCUUGCUGGGAGAUCAAAGCGGAAAGCCUCCACCGAAGUGGAGGCACCUGCCUCCUCAGCCUAGAGAAGGCGCAUGCCUCUACACCAGUCCGAAGAUCACACAGAUGCGCCGAACCGCAACUCUGGUCCCAAGUCUUCGGCUCAAGCCAGAGCCUCCUCCGAACACGCGGCAGCUGGCAUACCCCCGGCGGACUCCGAUGAUUUUUCGGUCACUAAUUCCGAAGUCGAGAGCGUAAUGAACCAUCGCCGCCGGAGGGAGACUUUAUGUCAUUCUUCCUUUGCCAACAAGAAUUCAGUGCUUUUAAUUCGGACGCGUACCUUGGAGCGGCCCAAACAGGCCGCAAGAGAGCAGAAAAAAAGCUGUCUGAGGACCUUGAAGUUAGACGGACACAGUUGGUCGAAACCAAGGCCGAACUAGAUGCGGCUCGAAAAGCCAGCAGCGAAUUGUCCGGUAAGUAGAAAGACUUGUUGCACAGGUAUACGUUGUAUUUUAUGCAUUAACACCAUAUUCUCCAUAUUGCCGCGGGAAUUGUAAGCGAGCUGCGAAGGGAGCUAGAGGCUGGCGAACGGGUGCUGACGCGAAGUCAGGAGGAGAAAAAUCAGCUCAAGGAAGAGAAACAACGAAAAGCCGAGGAAAUUGAAAGCUUAAGAACCCAGCUGGCGCAAGCCUUGGAUGAGAACUAGAAGCUAAAAGGUGGCAUAUUUGGUCUCCUGACUCAGCGGCCCGAGGAAGAAGCCAACACCUAUGACGGGAACCUAAAGGAGCUGUCGAAGACCUAUUAAAGGGCCCGGAAAGCCAUGAAGAGCGUGGUGAAGGCAUUAUGGCUGUCAGAUGCGCCACCAGAGAGUAUUGCUGAACUAGCCAGUCUCUUUAAAGGGCCUCGACGAAGGUUCGAAUUAUGGAAGAUCUCGGCCUGUAGAGAAGGAGCACGCGAGGUGUGGGCUAUGGUAAAGACCCGUUUCACCAAGCUAGAUCCGGUGCAUAUGGCCCGGGUUGGUCCAGUGGGUCCUGACGGCCAAGAGAUACCACCGAGCUUGGUGUAUGAUGAGGUGAUGCCAGCCACUCGCUAUUAUCAAAAGGGUUGUGCUUUAGAACAAUUGAUAGACAAUGUCGAGAAUGAGUAAUCUUGUCAAUUCUAUGUAUCUAUGUAUUUUACGUUGACUGUGCUCAAUCCACGUUCUUAUUUCUAUUUUUGAAAGAAUGUUGUCUUGACU